rnacentral:rRNA from 1 species
AUUGAACGCUGGCGGCAGGCCUAACACAUGCAGGUCGAGCGCGAAAGUCUUCGGAUGAGUAAAGCGGCGAACGGGUGAGUAAUACAUGGGAAUCUGCCUGGUAGUGGGGGACAACGUUUAGAAAGGAACGCUAAUACCGCAUACGCCCUACGGGGGAGAGGGUGGGAUCUUCGGACCUCUCGCUAUCAGAUGAGCCCAUGUCAGAUUAGCUAGUUGGUGAGGUAAAGGCUCACCAAGGCGACGAUCUGUAACUGGUCUGAGAGUCUGAUCAGUCACAUUGGAACUGAGACACGGUCCAGACUCCUACGGGAGGCAGCAGUGGGGAACAUUGGACAAUGGGCGAAAGCCUGAUCCAGCCAUGCCGCGUGUGUGAAGAAGGUCUUCGGAUUGUAAAGCACUUUAAGUUGGGAGGAAGGGCAGUCAGCGAAUACCUGGUUGUUUUGACGUUACCGACAGAAUAAGCACCGGCUAACUCUGUGCCAGCAGCCGCCGUAACAC